rfam:Ornithorhynchus anatinus chromosome 1, whole genome shotgun sequence.
AGCAGUGUGUCUCAGUGGAAAGAGCCUGGGCUUUGGAGUCAGAGGUCAUGGGUUCGACUCCCAGCUCUGCCA